rnacentral:rRNA from 1 species
GUGUCACAGCCGCGGUAAUACCGGCAGCCCAAGUGAUGGCCGAUCUUAUUGGGCCUAAAGCGUCCGUAGCUGGCCGCACAAGUCCAUCGGGAAAUCCACCUGCCCAACAGGUGGACGCCCGGUGGAAACUGUGUGGCUUGGGACCGGAAGGCGCGACGGGUACGUCCGGGGUAGGAGUGAAAUCCCGUAAUCCUGGACGGACCGCCGAUGGCGAAAGCACGUCGCGAAAACGGAUCCGACAGUGAGGGACGAAAGCCAGGGUCUCGAACCGGAUUAGAUACCCCGGUAGUC